rnacentral:rRNA from 1 species
GAUGAACGCUGGCGGCGUGCCUAAUACAUGCAAGUCGAGCGAACGGACGAGAAGCUUGCUUCUCUGAUGUUAGCGGCGGACGGGUGAGUAACACGUGGAUAACCUACCUAUAAGACUGGGAUAACUUCGGGAAACCGGAGCUAAUACCGGAUAAUAUUUUGAACCGCAUGGUUCAAAAGUGAAAGACGGUCUUGCUGUCACUUAUAGAUGGAUCCGCGCUGCAUUAGCUAGUUGGUAAGGUAACGGCUUACCAAGGCAACGAUGCAUAGCCGACCUGAGAGGGUGAUCGGCCACACUGGAACGGGAACACGGUCCAGACGCCUACGGGAGGCAGCAGUAGGGAAUCUGCCGCAAUGGGCGAAAGCCUGACGGAGCAACGCCGCGUGAGUGAUGAAGGUCUUCGGAUCGUAAAACUCUGUUAUUAGGGAAGAACAUAUGUGUAAGUAACUGUGCACAUCUUGACGGUACCCAAUCAGAAAGCCACGGCUAACUACGUG